rnacentral:lncRNA from 1 species
GUGCUGUUCAGAACCAUGUCUAGCGUUACUUUUGCUUUCUGGAAAAGAUCUUUCCAUCCUGCAUACAUGGUUUUCUACCUAGGAAGUAAAAAUUAUUUGAAAGUUUAUAAACAAAAUGGAUUUGCCCUCCAUGAAUGUGGUUGGGAUUCUGGGUAACAUGUCUGGUUUUGUAAAUUAUAUGUUCAGUUGGUGGGGAAACCCUGAGAAGACACCCAUAUACCUUAUUCUCACUCACUUGGCUUUUACAGACAUCAUAAUUCUUCUUACAAAAGGACUGACAAAGGCAAUAGCAGCUUUUGAUUUGAGAAACUUCCUAGAUGAUAUAAGCUGUGAGAUUGAAAGACCCCCGAAGGGAGACCCUCACUCAAGCCUCGGGACAGCCGCGGACCCAAGAAGACACUGAGACCGAACUCAAAAUGUUGAAGGCAAGAUUUAAUAAAGCAACAGCAAGAAAGCACAUAGACCAGAGCUCUGGGGUCGAAACUCAUGCACCUAGUAUGGUGUAGAGGAGAAUCGACCUCGAGCCAAAUUUUUCACAGGCUUAUAUAGGAAAAACUCAAGGGGGGAGAGCGGGGCAGGGAAAGUACAAGUUUGCAUAACUAAGGGGUUCUGCCAAGGGACAAGGGGUUCUGCCAAGGGAAUUCUAUGUAACUAAGGGGUCAUGUCCUAUUAUUUGGCAAUGUACCCGGUUCAUUCUGAGGUUGUUCCAGGAGGCCCUUAUCUCAAAAAUGUUCUUGGAACAGUCUUUAGUUGGGAGGGUUCGAACUCUAGGAUGAGGAGUUCAGGAAUGCAUUCUGGGGUGAAGAGUUCAGGAGUGUUCUGGGAACAAUCUCUAGAUGGGAGGGGUCGGGCUCUGGGGUGAGGAAGAGUUCAGUAAUUUUUUAUCUUUAUUCUUCAAGAUCAUUGUUUACCUGAAGCAGUUGGCCUGUGGCCUAUCCAUCUGCAUCAGCAGCCUCCUCACUCUGGUCCAGGCCAUUAUCAUCAGUCCCAGAGCAUCUGGAUAGAGGAGCCUCAGGCCAAAGUAUGCAUGGCACAUUCUUCCAUUCUUGUCAUUCUUUUUGGAUGCUCAGUGCUUUGAUAAGUAUGAACCUAAUCCAUUCCAUCACAAGUACAGGUCUGAAUGUGUCACAGCUUAAGAAUAGUGAUAACCAUUGCUAUUUUAUUCUAGAAAGUCAGGAAAUAAAAUGGAUUGUUCUCCCUCUCAUGGUCCUGAGAGAUGCAGUGUUUCAGGGUGCCAUGGGAGGGGCCAGUGGCUACAUGGUAUUUCUUCUCCACAAGCACUACCAGCAAGUCCUCUACCUUCAGAGCUCCAAGCUUCUCUACAGAACUCCCCCUGAGCUGAGAGCUGCUCAAAGUGUUCUCCUUCUGAUGCUCUGUUUUGUUUUCUUCUACUGGACAGAUUGUGCCCUUUUUUCUAAUUUUAAGUCUCUCUUCAAGGGACAAUAACCUAAUGGCAAAUCCUUGAGAGUUUCUGGCCAUUGGUUAUACAACUUUUAGUCCCUUGAUGCUGAUUCAGAGGGAUGGGCUUCUGGCUGGCUGGUGUCAGAUGGCUCAGAUGGAGAAAUUGAGAAAAUGUCUCUUAUUUGUAUGUUUAGCAAGUGUGGAAAAAACUCUCAGUUCUUCAAUAUUGUGGGUACAAUCAAAUCAUCCAAAGAAGUUUAGGCAACUAUUUGUUCUCAGACACUUUUCCUGGUCACUCAAGUCUUGAACUGAAAAUUAAUUGUAAGUUAACUCUGUAA